AGCGUUUAGUUCUGCAGAGCCGCGGGGCGCGGGCGGCGAGGCAGGCUGACAGCAGGGAGGGAGUGGCGGAAGGGAGAAGGGGGCGCACCUGCAGGAAACGAUAGUUGCCAAGGAAUGCUUCAGGGCCAACGGCAUCAGCGGCCGCCGCCUCAUCCACGCGAACUGCUCCAACCUGCCCGCCAUGGGCGUCACGGACUUCGGCCACAUGCAGGAAAUUUCACGACACGUGCGAGAGCUGCUGGGGAUUGAGGAGCCUCUCUUCAGCAGGUCCAUUGCCCUCCCAUACAGAGACAAUAUGGGUCUCUUCCUAGAGAGAAAGGCACCAACAGGAGAGAAAGCAGAUGCCCUCACUUUCUCACAGUUUAUCCAAAAAGCAGGACUGGAGCCCUAUACUACAGCUCCUUCUUGGCAAGGAUCCCAGACCAUGGUGGGAGUGGAUGCUCUCCCUGCAACACAGGACAUGCAGAGGCAGAAUUAGAGACUCAUACUACACUUUUGCCUUUGUAAGAAGCCCAGCAGCCACAGCAGACUGCACCCUUAUUACCUUGCAGAUUGUUCAAGGAGGUACAGUUCCACCUUUUCACAAUUACAAAAAAUUCUGCACUGCACUGCCACUGCAACUCUUAGGCAUUUUAUUACAACAAACCCAUUCCCACAUGGUCUCUUUUCCACAAUACUUCAUUUGCUUGCAGGAACUAAGUGAAGUGGAGGUUGUGGAUCAGACUGUACCAUUGUCUGUCUUUCACUUCUGCUUCACAGUUGAUUUAAAAAUACCAGAAAAACAAUCAUAGACAUAUUUAAGGCACAAGUAAUUGAUAAGAACUUCCCAGAUGCUCAAGUGAAUAGAUUUCUCCCAGGCUUCAGUGUCUGCAGACUGGGCUUGCUUUGAAACCCAGAUGUAAGAUAAAUGGCACAUACAAUAACUGGUGUACAGGUGUGGCGAUAGCUGCUCUCAGCAUAGUUAAGCAAGGGUCUAGGUGCAACAUGCAUAACUAAUCCUUGGCCACAGAAAUUACUUCCUGUGAGGCAAAACCAGACAGGCAGUGUUUUAUCAUGGUAAGCAGUACUGUAAUACAUGAGAGAUGGUGGCAGAAAGUACAAAAGAAUACUGAACUAGAAAAUUUAGGGAAUAAAAAUUGCUUUGUCCUGGGUGGCUUUGGACAGAGUAUCCAGUUACCUGCUUUUUCCCCUGAAGGACAUAUCAUAUAGUCUGUGGUGGUGAGGGUGGGGUGCAUUAUCACCAGUAAGGAAGGAGAAGUGCUGAUGAAGGCCUGGCUCAACAGAGCACUCCUGACUAAAUCAUUAGUAUGUUCUCAGGAUUCAAUGGCUUUCUCAAGGUCCCUCAUGGGGAAUAAAAAAAUAAUAAUAAAAAAAGACUGGGCCUGAUCCUGUUUAGUUUUUUACACCAAAGCUGCAGCCACUACAAAAUAACUGUAAUUUGGUUUUGUAAUUCAGUUCUGCAAUUCAGUAUUGAAGCUGCAAUAGAAACACAGUGGAACUGAAGCAGUUCAGUGAAACUGAAUAAGAAAACUAUGUAAUAAGCAAAUUCAGACCAAAAAAACCCCAAAACUCAGGCAACCAGGGAUAAGUGAGUUUGCUGAGCAGUGUAAAGACUGAACUCACAGAAGAAAAUGUGUGCAUAAGGUUAUUGGCUGGAAUAUAGUCUGAGAGUUAACAGUGAU